UGAUUUUAAAAUGAUUUUAAUCUUUUUCAAUUAAAUUUUUUCUUGCAUUCAAGAUCCAUUCUUUCUAAAAAAUAAAUUAGUAAUAAAAAACUAUGCACAUAUACAUGUCGAUCAAAAGUCGGAUGGACAAGCAUGAAACCAUACAAGUUAUAAAAGUGGUGGAUGUUAUUCAAAAAGUAGAGAAGAAUUGGGUAUAGCUUUGCAGCUUUCAGUAGUUCAGUGCGGAAAUUCCUUAUAUAAAAUUUCUAAUUACAAAUUAGAAAUUUUAAUAUUAAUUUUGUUAUUAUUAACAUGAUACACAUGAUAUAUGAUCAAGAAAUAAAAUGACACAAAACACGAACGUGAGAAUUCAUGCAAAAAGAAACGAUUUGUAUUUAAAAUGAUGAAAAGAACUACAAGGUUCUAAGAAUGAUCUCGAAGUUUUAUAAAAAAGUUAUAAUUGAUUAAAAAAAAAGUUAAUUAAUAUUCUUACACAACAUUGAUCAUAUGCAAAAAUUAAAUUAUUUUUGAACUUGAAAUAUACUAUAAUAAUCAUUAUCAACAUACUAAAAGGUGAAAGCUCAACUAGCAAUUAAUUUCACCGAAUUGCUGACUCGGCGAGAGCAAGAAUGAACAUGUCGAGACGAAAGAACCAUGAAGGUAAAGUGGAAGAAGGCCAAGGGAACGAAGAUGACGAAGGACAAAAGCGACCAAAGGAAGGUUCAGAACGAGCUUGCGCUGUGUGACCGACACGUAUAAAUAAAGAGUUGGAUAGCUGCGAGGUUGCCAGAUUUCAGUAAUAUUGAUCGACAAAGUCGACGCGGUCGCCAACCGGGGUCACGAAAAGAAACAUGGCAACAUUGUCCCGUUCCCAGCUGAUCGAGCUCUUCUCAGGUUUAUUCAACGGUCGACCGUAUCUCUGUUUCUUCGAGUUUGUAUGAAUUUUGUAUAUCAUUUUUGUAUGAAUCUCUCUUUAUUUUUCUCUUGUAAUUAACAAAGAUAUUUAUUAUUUUUUAUUUAUUUAUCAUCAUUUUUUUUAAUUUUUUCUUUCUUUUUCUUAUUAUGUCCGAUGAAUUCUGAUUUAUUACAAAUAUAAGAAAAUUGCUUUCUUCUAUUCUAUAACUACGCGUGAUAUUAUGAUAUGUAAUGAUAUUAUGCAAUAAAGAAAAUUUCAUUAUGCGCUAAAUAGUUAAAUUCUAUUUAUUUGUAAGAAUAAAACAGAAAGAAC